UGGAUAAACCCUGAAACGAAAAUGGCAACUGUUCAACUCCUUCUACACCAUUCUCACUCAUUUGCCCUAAUUCAACACCAUUUCCCCCAAAUUUCUCACAAAUCAACGCCAAUCAAAUCCUCCCCCACCGAUUCCCCCUCAACCAGCUCAACCACCCCCCGCCGCAGCCGCAGAACCACCACCAAAAAAACAAGGCGGUCGAGAAAAACAGAGGAUUCACCAGCCACCAAAAACGCCGCCGAAGAGCUCCACGAUUACGACGACGGCGUCGAUUUCCCGUACCUGGAUCCACCGCUGGUAUGCUGCUUCGGAGCGGCGCAGAAGGAGUUCGUGCCGACGGUGAGAGUGGCGCCGGAGCAGAUGCACCCGGACAUCUACUCGCAGUGGAAAAUGCUGCAGUGGAACCCGCCCGAGUUCUCCCGGGCACCCGGCGGUCCACCGUCGAAUGUGGCGAUCUCUCACGUGAGGCUGGGCGGGCGGGCGGCGUUCAUGGGGAAGGUAGGGAAGGACGAAUUCGGCGAGGAGCUUGUGUUGAUGAUGAAUCAGGAGAGGGUGCAGACGAGAGGGGUGAAGCUCGACGAGGGUGCUCGAACUGCGUGUAGCUAUAUGAAGAUCAAAUUUGAGGACGGCAAAAUGUCUGCUCAGAAUUCCAAGGAUUGCCCCGAGGAUUCGUUACUUGUUUCAGAACUCAAUCUUGCGGUGCUUAAAGAGGCUAGAAUAUUUCACUUCACUUCUCAAGUCCUUACAUCAACUUCUAUGCGUUCUACCCUGAUUAAAGCGAUUGCGUGGACUAAGAAGUUCGGCGGUCUUGUAUUUUUCGACUUGAAUCUCCCACUACCGCUGUGGAAAUCACGGGACGAGACAAGGGAGCUGAUCAAGGAAGCCUGGGAGAAAGCAGACAUCAUCGAGGUCACAAAGCAAGAAUUGGAAUUCCUCUUAGACGAAGAGCAUUACGAGAGGAAAAGAAACUAUACACCUCAGUAUUUUGCUGAGAGCUACGAGCAAACCAAGCAACGGAGAGACUACUAUCACUAUACCCGCGAGGAGCUCUCACCUCUGUGGCAUGAUGGCCUGAAAUUCUUGUUUGUCACGGAUGGGACGCUCCGGAUACAUUACUACACCCCUAGUUUUGAUGGAGCUGUGGUUGGUACUGAAGACGUGCUCAUAACACCGUAUACUUGCGACAGAACUGGUUCGGGUGAUGCUGUUGUGGCUGGAAUCAUGCGGAAGCUCACCACACAGCCUGAGAUGUUUGAGAAUCGUGAUGUUUUGGAGAGGCAGCUCCGGUUUGCCAUUUCAGCCGGCAUAAUAUCACAGUGGACGAUAGGUGCAGUACGUGGUUUUCCCACGGAGAGUGCUGCGCAGAAUCUUAAAGAACAGGUGUAUGUGCCAUCCAUGUGGUAGGCAAAAGACUGCUUCGUUGAGAAAGACUCGUUAAGCUUCAGUGGCGCACACUCCCUUGUAACCGGCAUUCACCACCUGUUUCAACCAUUCUCGAUUAUCUAGCCGCUAUUUUUGCGGGUUGAUUAAGGUGGUGUUCCGAUUUAAUUUUUGGUUCCGUUGUUAUGUUUGCCGAUAUGAACGCCAUCUACACACAACGCCACGUCUCAUUUUCGUCAAACAAUGCCAAAUGGAAGUUUGAGCCGGGGCAAUCCGAGUGCAUUCCAGUAUGGAGGCCUGGCACAUGGAGGGUAGACGGAUAACAUCGGAGCUAGUCGGAUAAGGAAGAGCUUGCGCUUAUUGCAGCCAUGAAGGAAUUAGUUGCGACUGGUUGGAAAUCUGACAAUGGCUUCAGAUACCUCUAUCUGAACAAAGUGGAGGAAUCAUUAUACAUAAUUUUCCUACCACGGAUUUGAGGGCCAACCCUCUUAUUUAGUCUAAGAUAAUAGCUUGGAAUAAGAACAACAAUAAUCUCUGUAUUAUUGUAUUAUUCUCGAACGUAGUGUGGUCAGGUUUGAUGUCCACAAUGACUACAAAAUUGACUAUAAUGAUGAGCAGUGGGAUCAUAUUAUUAAA